GGUGAACGCUGGCGGUAGGCCUAACACAUGCAAGUCGAACGGCAGCACAGUAAGAGCUUGCUCUUAUGGGUGGCGAGUGGCGGACGGGUGAGGAAUACAUCGGAAUCUACCUUUUGGUGGGGGAUAACGUAGGGAAACUUACGCUAAUACCGCAUACGCCCUUCGGGGGAAAGCCGGGGACCUUCGGGCCUGGCGCUGAUAGAUGAGCCGAUGUCGGAUUAGCUUGUUGGUGAGGUAAUGGCUCACCAAGGCGACGAUCCGUAGCUGGUCUGGGAGGGUGAUCAGCCACACUGGAACUGAGACACGGUCCAGACUCCUACGGGAGGCAGCAGUGGGGAAUAUUGGACAAUGGGCGCAAGCCUGAUCCAGCCAUACCGCGUGGGUGAAGAAGGCCUUCGGGUUGUAAAGCCCUUUUGUUGGGAAAGAAAAGCAUUCGGUUAAUACCCGGGUGUUCUGACGGUACCCAAAGAAUAAGCACCGGCUAACUUCGUGCCAGCCGCCGCCGUAA
rnacentral:rRNA from 1 species